rnacentral:rRNA from 1 species
AUACGGAGGAUCCGAGCGUUAUCCGGAUUUAUUGGGUUUAAAGGGUGCGCAGGCGGGAGAUUAAGUCGGCGGGGAAAUUUUGCAGCUCAACUGUAAAAGUGCCUUCGAAACUGGUUUCCUUGAGUGUAGAUGAAGUAGGCGGAAUUUGUGGGGUAGCGGUGAAAUGCAUAGAUAUCACGAGGAACUCCGAUUGCGUAGGCAGCUUACUAAACUACUACUGACGCUCAGGCACGAAGGCGUGGGGAUCAAACAGGAUUAGAUACCCUGGUAGUCCACGCAGUAAACGAUGAUUACUAGCUGUUUGCGAUACAAUGUAAGCGGCUGAGCGAAAGCGUUAAGUAAUCCACCUGGGGAGUACGUUCGCAAGAAUGAAACUCAAAUGAAUUGACGGGG